AAGAGGAAUGGAUAACGCUUUGGACUUCCAAAUCAAAGGUUGUGGGUUUGAAUCCCACCUGGUAUG
rnacentral:tRNA from 1 species